rnacentral:rRNA from 1 species
UACGAAGGGGGCUAGCGUUGCUCGGAAUCACUGGGCGUAAAGCGCACGUAGGCGGCUCUUUAAGUCAGGGGUGAAAUCCCGAGGCUCAACCUCGGAACUGCCCUUGAUACUGGGGAUCUCGAGUCCGGAAGAGGUUGGUGGAACUCCGAGUGUAGAGGUGAAAUUCGUAGAUAUUCGGAAGAACACCAGUGGCGAAGGCGGCCAACUGGUCCGGCACUGACGCUGAGGUGCGAAAGCGUGGGGAGCAAACAGG